UUAUCUAUACUUUAUUUUUGAAAAAGAAAGAGAAUGAAUUCUUGGGAUAGCUUUUGUCUUGUUUUUAUGUGAGAAGUCCAAAAUUUAAGCACAAUCCCUUAGCCCACACCCCAUCAGACCCGCCCAUCUUGCCUUUUAAAUCUCCACCUUCAUUCUUUUGAUCCAACAACCCUUGUUUUAUCUUAAUCCCAUAUAAAAACUAAUUUUACACAAACCCUAAUCACCCCAAACCAGCCACAACUCACUACACCACUUGCUACCGCCGUGGACUCGUCGGAAAACUUAGCGAUUCCGGUCGAGUCCACUCACCCGAUUCUCCAUGGUCCCCCCUCCCUUGUCCUCUCUCUCCACGUCAGCUAAACGCAUAAUUAACUCUUCACUCUCUCAAAUCUUCCAUCCCUUUUUACUUUCCACACCUUUUGGACAGAUAUUGGAAAACUAGGAGCCAUAGGAUCAAGAUAUUUUGGUCCUAGAUUUUCACUUGCCUAAAAUCAGUCCCUUCAAAAGUAAUUUCAGAUUUUAGAGGUUUUGGAUGUUUAGAGGAGAAUUUUCGUGUUUCUUGGAGAAGAAGAUUGGAAUUUUUGAGAGCCACUAUAAAUGCUAUCAUUUCUCAGAUUUCAGAGGAGAAUUUUUGGGACGAAAAAUUAGGUGGAAAAACUAGGUUUUGGUUUUGGCUUUCACUUUUCUUCUUAUGACUUUCAUUUCAGAUUUAUAUAACCACAAAAAAAAUAUUUCAGUUUGUUCUAGUUUUAUUUUUAUUUCAAAUUUGAAAAUACACAAGAAAAAUUUAGUCUCUUCCUUUGAUUUUGAUUUCCAAAAUGGAGUGAAGCUGAAACAGGUGUUCGAUUGUUAGAGUUGCUGUUCGAGGUGCGGUCCAUUGGUUUCGUUCGAGUUCGACUGUCAUUUUGAAUUUUACGCAUAUAUGCGCUAUUCCGUCUAUUGUAGUUGUUGGAAUUUUUCGUCAAUUAAAAGCUAUUUAAGGUCCAUCUCUUUAUAUAUUGCUAUUUACAUGGCGGUUUAAACUAUAGUAUCAGCCUAUUUAAGAAUAGUUUGUAGAAGGAUUCUGCUAUUUCUUUUGGUUUAUUAAUUAUGAGCCAAGAUUCUCAGAUUUCGUUUAGUCUUAAGUUCUCUUCAUAGAUCUCUCUUUGAUAUUUGUUAAGUUCUCUUCAUAGAUCUCUCUUUGAUAUUUGUUAAGUUCUCUUUGGUUAGUUUUAAUCUUGUGUAGAGUCUUCUUAUUUUCUUAAAAGGAUAAUGAAUCGUGUGUUCUCAUGUUCAUAUCUUUAGAUUGAAAGCUUCUGUUACAGCUUUAGGUUUCAUCUUAAUAAAACUUGUCUGCAUUUUUGGAAUAACUAAAGGUAGAUAAACCUUUUUCUCCUUUUUUAAAUAUGAAAAGCUCUUUUUAGUGACUAAGUUCCUAAUCAUCAAAGUUCAUUUUAUUAAAAUAAACACAUCCUCUCUUCUUCUGUUUAUAGCACGUUCACUGAUUGACAUUCAAAGGAAGUGCAUAAAAAUUCUCUUAAAGAAAAUCACAUAUCUGGUUCUAAAAUGGGUUGAUCUAUAGUUUAAUCAUGAUUCGGCAGUUCAUGAAUUAAAGAGAGAAAAAUAAAAUUUGAUGCCUUGAUGACAUGAAUUGUGCUACGGGAUUCGGGCUAAAUGGAAGUAAACGAAUUGGAGCUUAAUUGUUUAUUUUAGGUCUCGUUUUUAUUUUAUUCGAGGUGAGAGAUUGUCCCCUUUAGUUUUUAUUCAGGGGAAUGCAUCGUAGAUUUUGUAUAUACGGUUAAGGGUCUGAUUUACCCUUCUACUAUCAUAAAUAGGUCUUAUUUAUCUUCCGUUUGAGUUUCUUAUCAAAAAUAUCCCCACCGUUAUACUUUUGUUUCACAUUUGCCCUUUACCCGUUAAAUACACCCUACCAGAUUUUUAAGGGGCACGUGGCAUCAUUUGAUUGGACCAGACGACCCGCCCCAUUAUUUUAAUUAAAAUCUGCCCGACCCAUCAAUAUGUAAGCUGAAAGCAGAUUUUGUAAACUAUAUAAACAGUCCAUCAAUAUGUUUUCAGCUUAUGCAUUUCAUUUACCAAGCUGAACUAUUACAAAAACCUGAUCCCAUAGUACCUAAAAGAACCUAGAAAUAGUUAUGUUUUCAGCUUAUGCUUGAGUCCAAUCAACUAAACUGAUGGUGAGCAGAAUAAUAGAGAGAAUGUGAAUCAAAAGGAGAAACCAACUAUGACUUCAUGGGCAAAGCUGUUUAUAUGGAACAGAUCUACAGAAAAUCAUAUUGCCCUAUCCUACAUAGCACCUCAAUUAGUAGACGAACAACCAGUGUUCAAUUAACAAAGGAGGUUGAUAAGGAGGUGGAGAAAUGUACUGGUUCUCUAAUUGCUUAUGUUAUUGGGGAAAUUCAUGGAUGCAAUAUCAUGAAAAAUUACAUUGAAAAUAACGAUGGGUCUAGGUUAUUAAAAUAAUGUGGCAAGCGGGUUUUAAGUACUUGAGUCGGGCGGGUUUUAAUUAAAAUAAUGGGGCGGGUCGUCUGGUUCAAUCAAAUGAUGCCACGUGCCCCUUAAAAAUCUGGUAGAGUGUAUUUAACGAGUAAAGGGCAAAUGUGAAACAAAAGUAUAACGGUGGGGAUAUUUUUGAUAAGAAACUCAAACGGAGGAUAAAUAAGGCCUAUUUGUGAUAGUAGAAGGGCAAAUCAGACCCUUAACCGUUGUAUAUACCUUAUCCGGGGUAUGGCCCAUAACAAAUGUAAUUGGAGGCUGUGACGGACAUCGUGGAGUGAGCAUAAUAUAGACUUUUAGUAUUUUCCUUUUAUUUUAUCUAGGUAGGUACGAUCUCGAGCUUCUUGUGUGUUUAUUUUUGUGUGUUUUGCCACAAUUUGAGUAUUCUUUAAAGUCGGCUAGAUCAAGUAUGCACCUGUACUAGUUACGGGACUCGCAAAAUGCCUAACACAUUCUCCCCAAGUCAAAUGAACCCUUUUGCUUGGAAUCUCUGGUGCAGACCAUGUUUAGAGUCUAAAUGUGUUUUAAAAGAAUUUUUUUUUUUGAAAAACGAUGACCUGAUACACCCAAAUUAAAUGUCAAGUGGCAACUCUGAAAAAUCUUUUGAAACAUAAUAUUUUUGUCACUUUCUAAUUGAAAACCCUUUCGAACUUAAAAUCAAUUUUAUUUAUUAAAAGGGGGUUAAAGUGCGAAAAAGGGGUAUGACAACUUUAGCGACUCUGCUGGGGAGUUGCAGGUUCGAGCUGGUACUUGAUCUUGUUGGCCUUUUAGAAUAUUCGGUUGUAUCAACCCGACUUGUCGUUUUGAACAUUUACGCUCCAUCCAACUAUUUGAAGUCUUGAAUAGCUUCAUAUGAUAUAUUAUGAUGUGUGUGAAUCGUUGGUUUUGAUUUUCAGGUGUUUCGGGAUUAGUUCGGAAGAAUGAAUUUCAUGUUGGAAGCUUAAAUGAAAAGGGUUGACCGGAGUUUGACUUUUGUGCAACGACUCCGAAAUAGAGUUUUGAUGGUUCCAACAGUUCCGUAUGGUGAUUUCGGACUUAGAAGUGUGUCUGGUUAUUUAUUUUUAAGUCUGUAGUUGAAUUUGGCUUGGAAUGACAAAAGUAAGAAAUUGAAGGUUUGGAAGUUUGACUGGAAGUUGACUUUUAUGAUAUCGAGUUUGGAUUGUGAUUCCGAAAAUUUCAGUAACUUUGUUAUGUCAUUUAUGACUUGUACGCAAAAUUUGAGUUCAUUCCGGAUUGAUUAGAUA
rnacentral:lncRNA from 1 species